rnacentral:lncRNA from 1 species
CCCAAGUGACCAAAGCUCCUGCUUAGGCGAUACUGGAGUUAUUUUUUUCGCUAAGGAGCCGCUCAGGUGGCUCAAGCCACUGCUCAAGCCAUUACAGUAUUACACAUUUUUGAACAUUAACUAAUUUCUUAAGCCUUCAGCCACUACACCGUACCGAAGUUCCAAGUACUAUUUGACAUAUGAAAUAAGCAUAUUUAUACACAUUGAUGCCUUAAGUACAUGUCAUUCACAUUACAAUCUUUAUAUUCAUCACGAUACUUAGUCUACAUCCCACUAAUAUAAUACAAAUUACACUUUAACAUUUGAAAAACAACCUUAUAGGAUCAUCGGGUGAUGCGAUGCUUCGUAACUAUCAUAGCAACUUCUUGGCAAGUCUGCACCUACACGUUUUAAACCACUAACAGGUGAGCUAUAAAGCUUAAUAAGUAACAAGAAUAAUCAAAGUUUAUCCUAAGUCUUUAAUAACCUUGAGCUCUUUAGGCAAAUCAUCUUUUUGAGUUUAUUUAAGCCACAUUGUUAUUAAUUUAACCAUUUCAUGUGAAUUUGCAAGUUAAGCCUCAACUUAUAGCUUGAUAAUUUAUUGACUAUUUCUAUUAUGCAUGUAUUCCAGUUUUGACAAUUGAUUCAUUUAUGAAUCUUGCGCAAUUAUUAACUCACCUUAAUAACGCAUUAAGGCUUUCAAUCAUACCACAAUAUGUUAUGUCAUUCAUCUACACCACUUUCCUAGUAACUUAUAUUUCCAUUCAAUUCUUUACAAUUCAUAUAGCUUAUUAGCUUUUUAUUACGUACCAUUAUUAAUAUUCAUUUUCUUAUGUUCAUGGUCAAUCUUAUUAAUCAGUUUGCAAUUAAUUACACCAUGAGUAGACUCAAAGACAAAGGUUGGAUACUUGGGGCAUUAGUGUUCGAAAACCAUAACAGAAUCACACUAAAGUGCCAGUAAUAGAAGCACCAAAGUGCUGGAAACAAAAGUACAAAAGUACCAAAGUACUAGUAACAAAAGUCAUCUAUUGGGCAUGCUAAUCACAUCCUAGCUAACUCACUAAGUUACCAAGGCUUUGUUUUAUUAAUUCAAGUUAUCAGAAGAUUUCUUAUCAAAUUAUUAUUAGUUUCAGUGCAAUUUUCAUUUCAUUUUAAUUUUUAGUUUCAGUACAAAUUUCUCAAGGUAUUUAACACUCUACUCGGAUUUAGUAAGAUCACGUGACUUUUGCCACUUUAACAUAAAUCAAUAAAAUUUACAUGGUUCAUGCCAUUAAAAUAGAAAUUAGCAGUUAGUUUCAUUUCUCAUAAUAUGUGCAUAUUUAUCUUGGUUUUAAACAUGAUUUACAGUCCUUUAUAUUCUUUUAUUUCAGUUUUCGUAGCUCACACUACUUUUAGGCACCCAAAUGCCUUCACAUAUACAUUUCAUUUCGCAUUGUUAAUUAGGCCUUAUACAAGUUUUUAGUGUCAAUAUUAAGGUCUUUACAUUUUAACAUAAUUUAGCCAUAAUGACAUUAUUCAACCUUUUCAUAUUAAUGACAUGGUUCACACAUGUUCACUAAUACAUUAACAUGCCUAGAAUAUUUCCACUCAUAUCUUCUUCCAUAUUUUAGAGUUUUAUCAUACACAUCAUGCCAUGAAAUUUCACAUUUUUAUUAACAAUACUAAACACUUAAUUGCAACAUUAAUUCAUAACUUCAAGCUUACUAACUUAGGAGAAAGAAGAGUAUCCAUGAUACCUACCUCUAUGGAUGCUUUACAACACUAAAUCAAGCCUUCACAAGUUUUAUUCCACCAUAAAUCAAGUUUGAACAUCUAUUAACCACCAUUUCUUCAUUUUUCAUAAACCAAAAAUAUUACCAAUAAUUAAUAUAAAUUCAUUCCAAGCUUUUUCAUAUCAUUUCUCAACAAAUAUCAAUUAAUGGAGGUGUAGAAAACCAUUCUUACCAUUGUUGAAGGUUUCUCUCUCUAGCUUCAUCUUCCCUCGCAAAAGCUCCAUAAACCCUAAGCUAAAAUUGGUGAAAUUGAUGAUGGUAAUGAGUUUAGGAGGUAGUUUCCAUAGAGAUUUUAUUAAAAUCUUAAGAUGGGUAGUGGAAAUUUUGAGAGAAAUUGGUUAAAUGAGCAAGAAAAUGGAAGAAAGGAAGUGAACUUUUCAUAUUUUUUUUGUUGUUUUCGUUACAGAAGAAGAGAAUGAGCUGAUUUGUUUCCUUCCCAUCUUUAAAACACCAACAAAUGGGUUUUGG